rnacentral:rRNA from 1 species
CCUACGGGGCGCAGCAGUCGAGAAUCAUUCACAAUGGGGGAAACCCUGAUGGUGCGACGCCGCGUGGGGGAAUGAAGGUCUUCGGAUUGUAAACCCCUGUCAUGUGGGAGCAAAUUAAAAAGAUAGUACCACAAGAGGAAGAGACGGUUAACUCUGUGCCAGCAGCCGCGGUAAUACAGAGGUCUCAAGCGUUGUUCGGAAUCACUGGGCGUAAGGCGUGCGUAGGCUGUUUCGUAAGUCGUGUGUGAAAGGCGCGGGCUCAACCCGCGGACGGCACAUGAUACUGCGAGACUAGAGUAAUGGAGGGGGAACCGGAAUUCUCGGUGUAGCAGUGAAAUGCGUAGAUAUCGGGAGGAACACUCGUGGCGAAGGCGGGUUCCUGGACAUUAACUGACGCUGAGGCACGAAGGCCAGGGGAGCGAAAGGGAUUAGAUACCCCAGUAGUC